GAGUUUGAUCAUGGCUCAGAACGAACGCUGGCGGCAUGCCUAACACAUGCAAGUCGAACGAACUCUUCGGAGUUAGUGGCGCACGGGUGCGUAACGCGUGGGAAUCUGCCCUUGGGUACGGAAUAACUCAGAGAAAUUUGUGCUAAUACCGUAUAAUGACUUCGGUCCAAAGAUUUAUCGCCCAAGGAUGAGCCCGCGUAAGAUUAGCUAGUUGGUGGGUAAAGGCCUACCAAGGCUACGAUCUUUAGCUGGUCUGAGAGGAUGAUCAGCCACACUGGGACUGAGACACGGCCCAGACUCCUACGGGAGGCAGCAGUGGGGAAUAUUGGACAAUGGGCGAAAGCCUGAUCCAGCAAUGCCGCGUGAGUGAUGAAGGCCUUAGGGUUGUAAAGCUCUUUUACCCGGGAUGAUAAUGACAGUACCGGGAGAAUAAGCUCCGGCUAACUCCGUGCCAGCCGCCGCCGUAAC
rnacentral:rRNA from 1 species